rnacentral:lncRNA from 1 species
GCCACAGUGGUGUGUAUUUGCUGGAGGUAGUCAGCUCCCUGGGACUGCUCUGGUCCUGUUUUCCUGAUUUCUCUUUCACACAUCCGUUUGCGUGGCUUGGCUGAAUCCGAAGUGUAUGGCAUAUGGCUUUUUGCUGCUUGAGCUGCCACGGAAGUAAAUGUCAUUGGCAUAGAAUGCCAGAUUUCCAUUUUGUGAAUCACAGAGCAUGGAAUUCUGUCCGAAAGCUCCCUGGCCGCUCCGUGUUCUUAAAGCAGAAGUAGAA